rnacentral:rRNA from 1 species
UACGUAGGGGGCUAGCGUUGUCCGGAAUCAUUGGGCGUAAAGCGCGUGUAGGCGGCCCGGUAAGUCCGCUGUGAAAGUCGGGGGCUCAACCCUCGGAUGCCGGUGGAUACUGUCGGGCUCGAGUACGGAAGAGGCGAGUGGAAUUCCUGGUGUAGCGGUGAAAUGCGCAGAUAUCAGGAGGAACACCGGUGGCGAAGGCGGCUUCCUGGACCGACACUGACGCUGAGGCGCGAAAGCUAGGGGAGCAAACAGG